rnacentral:rRNA from 1 species
GACAGAGGAUGCAAGCGUUAUCCGGAAUUAUUGGGCGUAAAGGGUGCGUAGAUUGCAGAACAAGUUAUCAGUAGAAGCGAGGCCUAACCUCGUGGAAGUUGGUAAUACUAUUUUGCUAGAGUGCAGGAGAGGUUAACGGAAUUUCAUGUGGAACGGUAAAAUGUUACGAUAUAUGAGAGAACACUAAUAACGGCGAAGGCAGUUAACUAUUCUGUUACUGACGUUGAGGCACGAAAGCGUGGGGAGCAAAACGG